UACGUAGGGUGCAAGCGUUAUCCGGAAUUAUUGGGCGUAAAGAGCUCGUAGGCGGUUUGUCGCGUCUGCUGUGAAAACUGGAGGCUCAACCUCCAGCCUGCAGUGGGUACGGGCAGACUAGAGUGCGGUAGGGGAGAUUGGAAUUCCUGGUGUAGCGGUGGAAUGCGCAGAUAUCGGGAGGAACACCGGUGGCGAAGGCGGCGAUCUGGGUCGAUACUGACGCUGAGGUGCGAAAGCGUGGGGAGCAAACAGG
rnacentral:rRNA from 1 species